UACAGAGGUCUCAAGCGUUGUUCGGAUUCAUUGGGCGUAAAGGGUGCGUAGGCGGCGCGGUAAGUCGGGUGUGAAAUCUUGGAGCUUAACUCCGAAACUGCAUUCGAUACUGCCGUGCUUGAGGACUGGAGAGGAGGCUGGAAUUUACGGUGUAGCGGUGAAAUGCGUAGAUAUCGUAAGGAAGACCAGUGGCGAAGGCGGGUCUCUGGACAGUACCUGACGCUGAGGCACGAAGGUCAGGGGAGCAAACGGG
rnacentral:rRNA from 1 species